UCUACUGCUCUCGCUCUCUCCUGCGCUCGCUCUUACUGCAAAACUAGGUCAAUUGGGAACCCACCUGCAUAUUGAUUGCAGGCUGGCACCAGGUAUAAAGCUAAGCCGGUGCUUCUUUGGAUUAUUCCUCCCAUGCAUUCAGCGCAAAGCAGCAGUAAAUGCUGACACUCUGCGACGGACUGAUCGGCAAGAGUAGAUCAUAUGACAGCCACAGCGCGGCAGGUUGUUUUAUUCCGGCGUUGCGGAGAGAGGUGCUUGUGUGAUUUCCCCCACCAGUGAGAGUAUAACGCUUCCGGUCCUGGGGGCGUGAUCGCUGCCUUCACCUCCGUGGCAACUCACACAGCCUUAAGUGAAGAAUCAAGACACCUGCCUAGCCGUUGUUGUGAGGGCUCCU